GAUGAACGCUGGCGGCGUGCCUAAUACAUGCAAGUCGAGCGAACAGAUAAGGAGCUUGCUCCUUUGACGUUAGCGGCGGACGGGUGAGUAACACGUGGGUAACCUACCUAUAAGACUGGGAUAACUUCGGGAAACCGGAGCUAAUACCGGAUAACAUUUGGAACCGCAUGGUUCUAAAGUGAAAGAUGGUUUUGCUAUCACUUAUAGAUGGACCCGCGCCGUAUUAGCUAGUUGGUAAGGUAACGGCUUACCAAGGCAACGAUACGUAGCCGACCUGAGAGGGUGAUCGGCCACACUGGAACUGCGACACGGUCCAGACUCCUACGGGAGGCAGCAGUAGGGAAUCUUCCGCAAUGGGCGAAAGCCUGACGGAGCAACGCCGCGUGAGUGAUGAAGGGUUUCGGCUCGUAAAACUCUGUUAUUAGGGAAGAACAAACGUGUAAGUAACUGUGCACGUCUUGACGGUACCUAAUCAGAAAGCCACGGCUAACUACGUG
rnacentral:rRNA from 1 species